AACACACCACAAAAGGUAGCCAAUGGUGUGUGGAGAUAUUGCAACAACGACACAUGUAAAUUAAAAUGUAAAGGAAACUAUAAAUUAGAAGGGAAUGAAACAAUCCAGUGCCAAGAUAAUCAAAAUUGGACAGUUCCCGGUAGAUGCAUAACGUUAGAACAUGGUUGUAUAGAAGGUUGGUUUGGACCGGGAUGUUAUUACAGAGAUCUAAUACUCUUGACAAAAGAAAUGAGCCCAUUUAAACGAGAAAACGGCCAAUGUUCUGCAACGGAUUUAUUACACUUAAAAUUUAAAA